rnacentral:rRNA from 1 species
UACGGAGGAUUCAAGCGUUAUCCGGAUUUAUUGGGUUUAAAGGGUGCGCAGGCGGAAGAUCAAGUCAGCGGUAAAAUUGAGAGGCUCAACCUCUUCGAGCCGUUGAAACUGGUUUUCUUGAGUGAGCGAGAAGUAUGCGGAAUGCGUGGUGUAGCGGUGAAAUGCAUAGAUAUCGCGCAGAACUCCGAUUGCGAAGGCAGCAUGCCGGCUCCACACUGACGCUGAGGCACGAAAGCGUGGGUAUCGAACAGG